GAAUGAAUGAAUGAAUGAAUGAAUGAAUGAAGCUCGCUGGGUGUCCCUCCAGAUUCUCUGUCAUCUUGACAAUAUUUCUUUUCUCUCUCGAACUUCAAGUUGCAAGAGCUUGAAAAGAGCAUCUCGGAGACUCGCUGUGCUUGGGCGCUGAAAGCUCCCCUGUAGGGCAUGAAAGCACCCUCACCUUGCUCUGGAGCAGACCAGAAGUGCACAUGGGGACAAUCACUUGCCUCGGGGCACCCAGAUGCCUCACUUCUCCCAUGGCCCCAAACACGAGUGUCAUCGUCAUCCCUGACCCCGGACAUCCUUCUUCCUUCCAGACCCGGAGGCAGCUUGCCCCCUCAUGCCUGGCCUUCCCAGUGGGCCAUCCUGGCUUUGACCUCACAACCAGCAGACCCUCGUUCAACAUUCAAUCACUUCCGCUCUCAGCGCCCUGCCAGCUCUCCCUUGCCCUGGUUUUCCGCCCUGGAACCCGUGGGAGAGAAAUCUAGACGGGAAGAAGAGGAGAAUGCAGCCCCAAGGUUGAGUGUUAUUUAUGAAUCUACAUCAUAGCAAAAAAUAGACUACAUGCUAAGACAUAUACAUUGACAUAAAUUUUAUGAAAAUUAAAGAUAUUUCUGGUUCACCAUUUAAGUCACUACCACUUUGCUUAGUUAGGGUUUCUAUUGUUGGCAUGACCAAAGGUGACUUGGGGAGGAAAGAUUGAA
rnacentral:lncRNA from 1 species